CGCUUUCCUUUUGGAAUUCAUGUUCUGGAAAGCUAAAAGUAGAGAGAACAAGUUCUAAUCAAAGUUCAAAUGGAUCUGCAAAUAACCUGUUGUACAAGUCAAGGAACAGAGUUGAAGAUGGAUACUUAAAGCGUCAGCAUCAUCUCUGGCAAAAUGAGAACUGUCAGAACCUGGGACAGUGGAGGGGAGGAAAGGACCGACAGCAGUUUUGCGGUGAGACCAGCAGGUCUGACCCACCCACCCCCUACUCCAGUUCCGCCAACGAUCAUGAGCGGCUCGGCAGCUCCACAGUCCUGUGGUGUGUCUGUAUCUUAUCUGACCUAAAUCCAGAAGUACACCGGCGCUCGAAAGUCCCUCUGCUGCUAAGCCAAGACCCUUUCUCGAGGCACCAACGCUAACCACUUGCUGGACAAGACCUGCCAUGUUGGGUUCCAAGAAAAAGCCUCCCAGGAUCAAUUACCUCUUCGUCCUUUAGGCCUUCCUCUUCCAUCACUUUUUCUAACUUCUUUUGUCUAAAAACAAAUAAAG